CGUGUCGUGAGACGUUGGGUUAAGUCCCCUAACGAGCGAAACCCUUGUUUUUAGUUGCUAACGGGUAAUGCUGAGCACUUUAGAGAGACUGCCGUCGUCAAGACGGAGGAAGGUGGGGACGACGUCAAGUCAUCAUGGCCCUUAUGUCCCGGGCUGCACACGUGCUACAAUGGUCGGUACAAAGGGAUGCUAAGUCGCGAGAUGGUGCGAAACCUAUAAAGCCGAUCUCAGUUCAGAUUGGAGGCUGAAACUCGCCUCCAUGAAGUUGGAAUCGCUAGUAAUCGCGGAUCAGCUACGCCGCGGUGAAUAUGUUCCCGAGCCUU
rnacentral:rRNA from 1 species